rnacentral:rRNA from 1 species
GAUGAACGCUGGCGGCGUGCCUAAUACAUGCAAGUCGAGCGAAUGGAUUAAGAGCUUGCUCUUAUGAAGUUAGCGGCGGACGGGUGAGUAACACGUGGGUAACCUGCCCAUAAGACUGGGAUAACUCCGGGAAACCGGGGCUAAUACCGGAUAACAUUUUGAACCGCAUGGUUCGAAAUUGAAAGGCGGCUUCGGCUGUCACUUAUGGAUGGACCCGCGUCGCAUUAGCUAGUUGGUGAGGUAACGGCUCACCAAGGCAACGAUGCGUAGCCGACCUGAGAGGGUGAUCGGCCACACUGGGACUGAGACACGGCCCAGACUCCUACGGGAGGCAGCAGUAGGGAAUCUUCCGCAAUGGACGAAAGUCUGACGGAGCAACGCCGCGUGAGUGAUGAAGGCUUUCGGGCCGUAAAACUCUGUUGUUAGGGAAGAACAAGUGCUAGUUGAAUAAGCUGGCACCUUGACGGUACCUAACCAGAAAGCCACGGCUAACUACGUGCCAGCCGCCGCGGCAG